rnacentral:rRNA from 1 species
GAUUAACGCUGGCGGCAGGCAUAAUACAUGCAAGUUGAACGAGAUAAGUUUUAGCAAUAGAACUUCGAAAGUGGCGCACGGGUGCGUAACACGUAUGCAACCUACCUUUUACUGGGGAAUAGCCUCUCGAAAGAGAGAUUAAUACCCCAUAAUAUAUUGAUAAGGCAUCUUAUUAAUAUAAAGUUACGGCAGUAAAAGAUGGGCAUGCGGCUGAUUAGGUAGUUGGUGAGGUAAUGGCUCACCAAGCCGACGAUCAGUAGGGGGUCUGAGAGGAUGUCCCCCCACACUGGUACUGAGACACGGACCAGACUCCUACGGGAGGCAGCAGUAGGGAAUAUUGGACAAUGGGCGCAAGCCUGGUCCAGCCAUGCCGCGUGCAGGAUGAAGGCCCUAUGGGUCGUAAACUGCUUUUGUACGGGAAGAAACCUCACUGCGUGUAGUGAGUUGACGGUACCGUGAGAAUAAGGAUCGGCUAACUUCGUGCCAGCCGCCGCCGUAA